CGUGCGCCUUCACCCGUGAGCUGUUUAUAUGUCUGUAAUUAAUGUGCACCUAUAUUGUACACCAUAGGUACAUUUGACCUUCCCAGGAAAAUCCCAUUAGAUCCAUUUUCUUGGCACCUCCACAAAUGAAUUUUGAAACGAAAUCAAGAACCAUUUUUUGUGCUGAUCUGUGACGUUAUUCCCGACAUUUAUGCUUUUAAACUUUCCGAGAUACGGCUGGUUUUCUUAGGGAGUGCUGAGAAAAUAGUUUCACUUCUUUCCGACGUGUACAAUAGCUAUCGUAAGUCCGGAUUUUUUACGUAUAAUUUACUAUGUUUGGUUGUAAGCCCAUAUUAGUGCUAUCUAUGCAUAU